AUUGAACGCUGGCGGCAGGCUUAACACAUGCAAGUCGAGCGAGCGGCGGACGGGUGAGUAAUGUCUGGGAAACUGCCUGAUGGAGGGGGAUAACUACUGGAAACGGUAGCUAAUACCGCAUACCAUCAGAUGUUCCCAGAUGGGAUUAGCUAGUAGGUGGGGUAAUGGCGCACCUAGGCGACGAUCCCUCGCUGGUCUGAGAGGAUGACAAGCCACACCGGAACUGAGACACGGUCCAGACUCAUACGUGAGGCAGCAGUGGGGAAGAUUGAACAAUGGGCGCAAGCCUGAUACAGCCAUGCCGCGUGUGUGAAGAAGGCCUUCGGGUUGUAAAGCACUUUCAGCGAGGAGGCGUUACUCGCAGAAGAAGCACAGGCUAACUCCGUGCCAGCAGCCGCGGUAAUUC
rnacentral:rRNA from 1 species